UGUAACCCAGGUUACUAGAACUUGUGGGAGAAGUUUUUAUCCUGUAGAGGGCGCUGUAGGUUGGGAAGGACAGAACAACAUGCGCGGAGGGAUACGUCAGAUGUGAGAUCUGUGAGCUGGACCUCAGACUGUUGAGAGAACGUGAGCGAGUUGUCCCCGUUCUUUUAUGUUUUUCUUGAAAGAAAGACAAUUGUCUUCAAGAUAUUGCCUCCCAGAUAACACGUUUUGUUUUGUUUCACAUUUACAAAGGAAUUGGUCAGGUUUUUUUCAUUGUGUGAAUUCACCACCGUCGAGAGUGCCCAGUUCCCACACACCGCAGCAAAUGACGGAAGUCUGGUGAUGGCGAGCCACCCAACUGGAGUCUGAAAAGAAGCAACCUUAACCUGGAACUCUGAUUGCCGCAAAGAGGAAAUUGAACAUUGCGUUCAAUCGUGGUAGGAGAGUGACUACCUUAAUUCCACAGGUGCCCAAUCACCUGGAUCUGAAAGAACUGCCCAAGGACGGAACAGACUUGUAUUUCUAUUUUUAGAUAUUGUUUUGAUUAAGAGAAUUUUACAUAAUUUUAUUGCAUUAUUAUUUUUUUUGAACCAACCUGGUAUAUUGGGUUUAAAAUUGAACUAAAAAGUAUUUUUCUGAAAACCUUGCAAGGUAAAAUUUGACCAACCCCGGGGUUAACCAAUUUUCUUUCUACACAAAUUUUAUUUGGGUUAUCAGGUUUAAUUGUUCAUGUUCUGGAACUGUUUGAAAGUGUUUUUGUUAAUUCCCAUCCAUUUAUAAAUAAGUCAAAA